rnacentral:lncRNA from 1 species
GGAAACUAAUAAACAUCUUGGCAUCUACUCGCUAUCUUCUUGUGGAUCGGGCUCGGGAACUAAGUCCUCCUGAUCUAAAAUGGUUAAGUAAGAAAUGAGCUACACUAGCCCAGUAAAAACAUAACACUUUAUCACUGUCACAGAAGUAAAGGUUGGUAUAAAAUCAAAAACAACCAAUGGAGCACAAAUUUGAAUAAAUUCAUUUAUCAAUAAUCAAACCAGUUACCGUCCACUUACCUCAGUGGGAUUUAUAAAAACGACCCAUGAAAAUAAUAACAUCAUAGAUAUCAUGAAUUCACACAUAAUCUGUAACAUAGCGC